UCUACGUGGGGCAGCAGUGGGGAAUAUUGGGCAAUGGACGCAAGUCUGACCCAGCAACGCCGCGUGAAGGAAGAAGGCUUUCGGGUUGUAAACUUCUUUUAAGGGGGAAGAGCAGAAGACGGUACCCCUUGAAUAAGCCACGGCUAACUACGUGCCAGCAGCCGCGGUAAUACGUAGGUGGCAAGCGUUGUCCGGAUUUACUGGGUGUAAAGGGUGCGUAGGCUGUGAGGUAAGUCAGCGGUGAAAUGCCCCCGCUCAACGGGGUGAAGUGCCAUUGAUACUGCCUUGCUGGAAUGCGGAUGCGGUGGGAGGAAUGUGUGGUGUAGCGGUGAAAUGCAUAGAUAUCACACAGAACACCGAUUGCGAAGGCAUCUCACGAAUCCGCGAUUGACGCUGAUGCACGAAAGCGUGGGUAUCAAACAGGAUGAGAUACCCUUGUAGUC
rnacentral:rRNA from 1 species